rnacentral:ncRNA from 1 species
AAAUCAAUUAAAGCGCCAGGACUUAAGUGGCAAUAGAAUUUUUGUUAAGUUCUACUUAUUAAAUCAAAAAUUUAGAUCAUCACUUAAGUUGACGAGGUUGGGGAGUAUCGAAACUUCGGCGGGUGCCCCACGGUAUUUGCACUACCGUUAGCAACUGGCAAAACUAUAAAGUAAUUUAUAGUACAAAUCCAGUUAGGUGUUAAAA